GUACUGUGGACCGUCGAGUUUUUUCGGGCUCAUGCUCUUAUUUGAGAAUUUUUGUUUAUUUCAUGUCCAUGUUGUGGGUUGUGGGUAUUUCGGCCACGCUGCGUUGUGCCCAGGUGGUGUGUUGGCAGCAGCUGACAGGCUUAACCAUCCAUUUUCAGUUGAGUUGGGUGUGAGCACAUACUACGUACACACACACGCAACAUCACACAGAGAACCGUUCCAACUAUGCAAAAAAGGAAGAUGCGUUGAGCAAUUUUUGGUCCCGGUCCUCUCUCUGAGAAGAUAUACCCACCAAGGAUUUUUCUUACCUGUUUGGCUG
rnacentral:sRNA from 1 species